rnacentral:rRNA from 1 species
AUGCGAAGACCUAAUGAGAAUGAUUCGCAACUUCUUUUGGGGAGUAGAGAAGGGAAAAAGGAAGAUGCACUGGAGAGCAUGGAUCCACCUUAUAAAACCAAAGUCAUAAGGGGGUCGCUGGCCCGCCAAGCGUGGAGGCUUUUGACUAACCAGGAGAGCCUUUGUGCCCGUGUCCUGAAGGUGAGGUACUACCCUAACGGUAAUUUAGAUGACACUGUUUUUUCAGGAGGGGCCUCGGCGACUUGGAAAGGUGUGGAACAUGGACUGCAGCUCCUGAAAACAGGGCUGGUUUGGCGCGUGGGGAACGGCAACUCAAUUAGAAUUUGGCGUGACCGCUGGAUCCCGAGAAAUGGCAGCGGAAGACCGGUGACACCGCAGGGCCGGUGCCGUCUCCGUCGGGUGAGCGAACUGCUGGAUAACCAUGGUGCUUGGCGGAUGGAUGUGGUACGCGAUACCUUCUUCCCGGUGGACGCCGAGGAGAUAGUUAAGAUUCGGACAUCACCUCGGAUGGGCGACGAUCUCCUCGCGUGGGGUCCUGAGCGUAACGGACACUUCUCGGUGCGGAGUGCUUAUCGACUUGCUUUGGAAGAUCAUCUUCGAUCUUCAUCAGUCGCAGCGAGCAGGGCACCGGACGGGCGACGAGCCGUCUGGGCUUUUAUUUGGAGGUGCCCUGCUCCUCCUAAGGUUCGCACUUUUACUUGGCGCUUGAUCACGGACUGCUUGCCCACUUGGGUUAAUAAAAAACGGCGAGGAUUGGAAGUUUCUGACCAAUGCCCUCUCUGUGCGAUGGAGCCGGAGGACACAUUUCAUGCCUUUUGCAGAUGUCCCAGGGCGGUGGCCCUUUGGCAAGCGAUGGCAGAGCAAUGGCGAAUUCCUGCUGCUACGACAUUCCAUCGGACGGGCACGGAGUGGCUCGCCCAAACUCUUUGUGACCUGCCUGACACGGAGAGGAUGGAACUCAUGAUGACCCUUUGGCGCUGCUGGUACGUGCGCAAUGAAAUGACACAUCAUAAGCAGCCUCCUUCGGUUGAAGCGUCCAAGAGGUUCCUUCUCAGCUAUGUUGAUUCACUCGUGGGCACCCAAAACAACCCGAGUGCAAACCCGGCGAAAGGCAAACAAGUGGUUGAUGUGGUGACGCCCAGCAAGCCUGUACCACAUGCUCGGGUUGCGGACGAGGCGCGAUCACGAUGA